GUUAAUUUAAGCCAUUACAAGGGCAAGUUUUUGUCCUUUAAAGAGGUUUUGCAUUUACUUAGAGAGCUUUCAUUCCUGUUAAAUUGCCUUACUUACUAACAUGUUAAAUUGCCUUACUACUGUCUGAAAUGUUAGCGUGGCGGAAGUACAGCCUCACACACCUGUUCAGGUGGAUGUUAAUGGGAUGCUGUGGGAACAUAAACUGAGACCCUAGAUGGUUAUAUUUUUACAUUAGCUGCAAAUAUUUUUGUUUGUUUGUUUCUUGUAAUCCAGGCUGGCUUCAAACUUGAGUCCGUCCUGUGCACCACCAUGCCUGGCUCUUAGCGGCAAAUAUAGUAACAAACAUUUUCCAGGACACAGUUUCCCUGCUUGGAAGUCCUGGCUGAUGACGAAAUUCUCAGGCUGGAGGGUGACAAGGGUCUACAGGACAGGCAUGGACUCCCGGCUUCUCAGAAAGGUGGCUGGCAGUGACAGCAGCCUGGGGGAAGGACGGGGCAUUCGUGAGACCUCAAGCCAUCUCCCAGAGGAUGCCAGCUUGGAGACCAAGGUGGGGAGGAGAGUUCUGGGAGAGAAGGGCUCCAGCUGGGGCCCAAGAACCGAGGAACUUUUGCUGUGCACCCAG
rnacentral:lncRNA from 1 species